CGGCGAACCGUCCAAACGUUAUUCGGAAUUACUGGGCUUAAAGGGUGCGUAGGCGGCUCGAUAAGUUGGGUGUGAAAUCCCACGGCUCAACCGUGGAACUGCGCUCAAUACUGUCGGACUUGAGGGAGAUAGAGGUGAGCGGAACUAAUGGUGGAGCGGUGAAAUGCGUUGAUAUCAUUAGGAACACCUGUAGCGAAAGCGGCUCACUGGGUCUCUUCUGACGCUGAGGCACGAAAGCUAGGGUAGCGAACAGGAUUAGAAACCCCAGUAGUCC
rnacentral:rRNA from 1 species